GAAUUCGAUUCUCCUGGAAACGGUGGUAAUGCCGGAUGCUCCAGUUGUAUGCAUGUCCUUCUGGGAAAGAUUAUAUCGGUAUGGGAUGGGGUCGCGUCCUAUCAGGUAGUCGGCGGGGUAACGGCCCACCGAGCCUACGACGGGUAGCCGGCCUGAGAGGGCGACCGGCCACAUUGGGACUGAGAUACGGCCCAGACUCCUACGGGAGGCAGCAGUGGGGAAUAUUGCACAAUGGGCGCAAGCCUGAUGCAGCGACGCCGCGUGCGGGAUGACGGCCUUCGGGUUGUAAACCGCUUUUGAUCGGGAGCAAGCCUUCGGGUGAGUGUACCUUUCGAAUAAGCACCGGCUAACUACGUGCCAGCAGCCGCGGUAAUACGUAGGGUGCAAGCGUUAUCCGGAAUUAUUGGGCGUAAAGGGCUCGUAGGCGGUUCGUCGCGUCCGGUGUGAAAGUCCAUCGCUUAACGGUGGAUCCGCGCCGGGUACGGGCGGGCUUGAGUGCGGUAGGGGAGACUGGAAUUCCCGGUGUAACGGUGGAAUGUGUAGAUAUCGGGAAGAACACCAAUCACUAGUG
rnacentral:rRNA from 1 species